rnacentral:rRNA from 1 species
UACGUAGGGUGCGAGCGUUGUCCGGAAUUAUUGGGCGUAAAGAGCUCGUAGGCGGUUUGUUGCGUCGACUGUGAAAACCUGGGGCUUAACUCUGGGCUUGCAGUCGAUACGGGCGGGCUAGAGUUCGGUAGGGGAGACUGGAAUUCCUGGUGUAGCGGUGAAAUGCGCAGAUAUCAGGAGGAACACCGGUGGCGAAGGCGGGUCUCUGGGCCGGUACUGACGCUAAGGAGCGAAAGCGUGGGGAGCGAACAGG